GGCAGAGUACGCACCACAGCAUCGUCGCUGCUUUCGCAAAUGAUGGUCUCGUCGAAGUCAAACAACACCAAAAAGCGUUGAUCCUGUGGUGCGGCAGGCGUUAACGGAGCUGUCAUCUUUGGCGAUGUGUUGCAGGUCGGAAAAAACUCAAGCUGUCCCUUUGCCUGAUGGUGGAAAUAUCCCUCUAAAAAUAUACAGAGGCAUUCCUGUAUCAGCAGCAGUCACAAAAUCCAUGGCGGAUGAGGGAUAUCCACACACUGGCUUCUUGGUGAGUAAAUGAAGCUAAAUCAAAGGUUACAAAAGUAUUCAGGAUAAAGAAAAGCAAAUAUGUUUCUUCAUACACUGCCCUUCAGUUUCAUUCUAAACUUACCAGAGAUCAAAACAUUACUGCAAAUAAAUUUCUUUCUGCUCUGU